GAGACACUGAGCCACUUGAAGCAGUGCUGAUACAGAGCACUAAGUCAGGCCCAGAUCCCAAGCACUGAUGUAAAACCAAAAGACAGUGGCAGAAGUUGAGAGCUGUGUCAUGCAUCCUUUUUCACCCAAUGGUUUUGAAACACGAUUAUACACUGG
rnacentral:lncRNA from 1 species